AGCAGGAGGAGAAAGAGAGGAGGAGGAGGAGAGGAGGAAGAAGGAGGAAGAGAAGGAGGAGGAGGAAGAAGGAGGAAGGAGGAAGAAGAAGGAGGAGGAGGAGGAGGCGCCCCGGCCGCCGUUGCCACGUCCCCGACGCCUUGUCCACCGGCGCCCUGGCCCCUUCACCACCGCUGCCCUACGACGCCCACUAGAGAAGAGCCAGUCGGAGCGGCGCCGGAGUACCUCGGCGACCCCGAUCGCCUUCCUUGCCGCUGCGGGUCUGCCUGCACCGCGUCGCCUCGCCACUGCACCGACCCGCCACGGCCCCGCUAGCCUGACUCCACCGCCACCCUAGAGGAUGGAGGACCGUGAGUGGAUGUACACGGGCCGCGCAAGUCAGGGUCAGGUCACCAAUGAAUGGAUCGACAAGACCGAUGCUUUCUUGGAACGGGCAUUUGGCGUGGCUGCUAAAGGAGCGAGUAAAAUUUGCUGUCCCUGCAGCAAAUGUGCAAACAGGAAAAGACAAACGAAGAAGGUCAUGGGGGAACAUCUUUGGAAGAAUGGAUUUACGGCAGACUAUACCCGGUGGGUCUACCAUGGU